rnacentral:rRNA from 1 species
GACGAACGCUGGCGGCGUGCUUAACACAUGCAAGUCGAACGGAAAGGCCCUGCUUUUGUGGGGUGCUCGAGUGGCGAACGGGUGAGUAACACGUGAGUAACCUGCCCUUGACUUUGGGAUAACUUCAGGAAACUGGGGCUAAUACCGGAUAGGAGCUCCUGCUGCAUGGUGGGGGUUGGAAAGUUUCGGCGGUUGGGGAUGGACUCGCGGCUUAUCAGCUUGUUGGUGGGGUAGUGGCUUACCAAGGCUUUGACGGGUAGCCGGCCUGAGAGGGUGACCGGGCACAUUGGGACUGAGAUACGGCCCAGACUCCUACGGGAGGCAGCAGUGGGGAAUAUUGCACAAUGGGCGGAAGCCUGAUGCAGCAACGCCGCGUGCGGGAUGACGGCCUUCGGGUUGUAAACCGAUUUCGCCUGUGACGAAGCGUGAGUGACGGUAAUGGGUAAAGAAGCACCGGCUAACUACGUG